rnacentral:rRNA from 1 species
UAAGGAAUAUUGGUCAAUGGACGCAAGUCUGAACCAGCCAUGCCGCGUGAAGGAUGAAGGUCCUCUGGAUUGUAAACUUCUUUUAUCUGGGACGAAAACGGGAUUUUUAUCUCAAUUGACGGUACCAGAGGAAUAAGCACCGGCUAACUCCGUGCCAGCAGCCGCGGUAAUACGGAGGGUGCGAGCGUUGUUCGGAUUUACUGGGCGUAAAGGGCGCGUAGGCGGCGCGGUAAGUCACUUGUGAAAUCUCUGAGCUUAACUCAGAACGGCCAAGUGAUACUGCUGUGCUAGAGUGCGGAAGAGGCAACCGGAAUUCUUGGUGUAGCGGUGAAAUGCGUAGAUAUCAAGAGGAACACCUGAGGCGAAGGCGGGUUGCUGGGCCGACACUGACGCUGAUGCGCGAAAGCCAGGGGAGCAAACG